CAGAUAGACAGAGGGUGUCCCGGGCCUUCAUGGUUCGGGAAUGCUCAUCACGGCCAGGGCCCCGAUUCGGAUCGUGACAGCUAGGGCCCCGGUUCGGGUUAUGAGAAGUAGGUAUACACUUGACCGAUGAUGGUGUAGAUAAAGUAACACAAGUCACCGAAAUGAUAUACAACCAAAGGAUUGCUUAUACAAAGGGAUUCAAAACGAAAUUGUAACUCUUAAUUUGUCGCUUCACUUGUACUGCAUCAAUGUGUCAAUUUUCUGGAAAAUGUAGGACACAAGCAUGUUGAAGAUUUGAUAAUAUGAAAAAACUAAUAGGGAACUGUCUUCCCCUUGGAAAAUUGGCAUCAACUUCUAUCCAACUGAAGAUGACUGAUUCAUCAUCAAAGCCUUGAAAAAGUCUGAAGUCAGUGACUGCAAGCAACUCAAUACCUUCUGGGCUAGGAAGAAAGAGAAACAACUGUUAGUUAUUCAAAUGAGGCAUGCCAUUUAAUAUAUCACUUACACUCUUGCUUUACUCUUUAGAAACACUUUAAUGGUUGAGAAAAUAGGAUUUUUUUACUAAUUUUCAAUAUUUCUCAGAUGCUCAUUAGAAUGCUUCACAGUUAUUAUAGACAUGUUUUUCAAUACCGAAGCUCCUUGGUUACAUAAUUUUGUUGGUGUACAUUGUAUUAAACUGGUUGGAUGUCAAAAGGUAUGUUUGAAAUC